rnacentral:rRNA from 1 species
GUGGGGAAUAUUGGACAAUGGGCGAAAGCCUGAUCCAGCCAUGCCGCGUGUGUGAAGAAGGUCUUCGGAUUGUAAAGCACUUUAAGUUGGGAGGAAGGGCAGUAAGUUAAUACCUUGCUGUUUUGACGUUACCGACAGAAUAAGCACCGGCUAACUUCGUGCCAGCAGCCGCGGUAAUACGAAGGGAGCAAGCGUUAAUCGGAAUUACUGGGCGUAAAGCGCGCGUAGGUGGUUUUGUAAGUUGGAGAUGAAAUCCCCGGGCUCAACCUGGGAACUGCCUCCAAAACUGCAUGACUAGAGUACGGUAGAGGGUAGUGGAAUUUCCUGUGUAGCGGUGAAAUGCGUAGAUAUAGGAAGGAACACCAGUGGCGAAGGCGACUACCUGGACUGAUACUGACACUGAGGUGCGAAAGCGUGGGGAGCAAACAGGAUUAGAUACCCUUGUAGUCC